UAUUCCAGCAGCCGCGGUAAUACGUUCCCGGGCCUUGCCCACACCGCCCGUCACACCAUGGAAGCCAGCUGUACCGGAAGUCGGUGCGCUAACCCCGCAAGGGGAGGUAGCCGCCUAUGGUAUGACUGGUGACUGGGGUGAAGUCGUAACAAGGUAGCCGUAGGGGAACCUGCGGCUGGAUCACCUCCUUUCUAAGGAUUGUUUCCCGCAGCAAUGUUGGGAACAUACCUAGGUCAAUCAGAUCUGAGACCUUUCCAACUCUCAAAUCUGAAUUCAUCACCGUCUCGAUAGCGCAGACGAUCGGCCCUAUGCCCGCUACUAUUUAGUUUUUAAAGACCAAGGUGGCUGCCUUUUU
rnacentral:misc_RNA from 1 species